CUGCGCUCGUUCGUGUUUGCUGCGGUGACACGGUGCAGCAGUGAGUGAAAUUUUACUUCAUAAUCACGUAGUCGUAGUGGGUGUGGAGUGGGGAAAGGGAAGUGAGGAAGUGAGGAUAUUAUAUGACAUAUUAUGUGAUAACAUGUCACCUUUAGUGAGUGUUAGUGUGUGUAAUAGUGAGUGUGGUUGGAGCAGUGAUACGUGGCGCUGGGGAGGGAGAGCGGGUGGCUGGCUGGCUGGCUACAUUGUUUUGGUCAACACUGGUCAGUCUUGCCCCACACGCUCUUUUAACCAGUGUUUCCGUAUUCCCGGCAGCUUUUCCCUGUACCGAGCACCGCCAAGCAGCACCAGAGAGGCACGAAUAUGUAAGCCAGGUACAUAGCAGCCAUGGAUGGUACAUAGCAGCCAGUGGUACACAGCAGCCAAUGCAUAGCAGCCAUGGAUGGUACAUAGCAGCCAGUGGUACACAGCAGCCAAUGGUACAUAGUGGCCUGUUACCCUCUCGUGUCAAUUGGACAGAUGUUCCAUGUUACAGCACAUGAUUGUUGUGACUAAUUGUUUUGUGAGAGAGAGAGAGAGAGCUUGUCAGAUUAUUAAAUAAAAAUUCUAAUUGGU